AACGAACGCUGGCGGCAGGCCUAACACAUGCAAGUCGAACGGGACCUUCGGGUCUAGUGGCGGACGGGUGAGUAACGCGUGGGAACGUGCCCUUUGGUUCGGAAUAGCCUCGGGAAACUGGGAGUAAUACCGGAUACGGUCGAGAGACGAAAGAUUUAUCGCCGAAGGAUCGGCCCGCGUUGGAUUAGGUAGUUGGUGGGGUAAAGGCCUACCAAGCCGACGAUCCAUAGCUGGUUUGAGAGGAUGAUCAGCCACACUGGGACUGAGACACGGCUCAGACUCCUACGGGAGGCAGCAGUGGGAAUCUUAGACAAUGGGGGAAACCCUGAUCUAGCCAUGCCGCGUGAUCGAUGAAGGCCUUAGGGUUGUAAAGAUCUUUCAGUGGGAAGAUAAUGACGGUACCCACAGAAGAAGCCCCCGGCUAAACUCCGUGCCAGCAGCCGCGGUAAAGUGACUACUG
rnacentral:rRNA from 1 species